rnacentral:rRNA from 1 species
GAUGAACGCUGGCGGCGUGCCUAACACAUGCGAGUCGAACGAUGAACCGGGUGCUUGCACUCGGGGAUUAGUGGCGAACGGGUGAGUAACACGUGAGCAACCUGCCCCUGACUCUGGGAUAAGCGCUGGAAACGGCGUCUAAUACUGGAUAUGUCCCGUCACCGCAUGGUGUGCGGGCGGAAAGAUUUUUCGGUUGGGGAUGGGCUCGCGGCCUAUCAGCGUGUUGGUGAGGUAAUGGCUCACCAAGGCGUCGACGGGUAGCCGGCCUGAGAGGGUGACCGGCCACACUGGGACUGAGACACGGCCCAGACUCCUACGGGAGGCAGCAGUGGGGAAUAUUGCACAAUGGGCGGAAGCCUGAUGCAGCAACGCCGCGUGAGGGAUGACGGCCUUCGGGUUGUAAACCUCUUUUAGCAGGGAAGAAGCGAGAGUGACGGUACCUGCAGAAAAAGCACCGGCUAACUACGUGCCAGCCGCCGCGGUAA